rnacentral:rRNA from 1 species
GCGUCGCAUGCGCGAGCCUGACGGAGCACGCCGCGUGAGGGAGGAAGGUCUUUGGAUUGUAAACCUCUUUUCUCAAGGAAGAAGUUCUGACGGUACUUGAGGAAUCAGCCUCGGCUAACUCCGUGCCAGCAGCCGCGGUAAUA